UAUUCGUUCGAGCGGACCUUAUGGCGCCAGGACCUAAUCCGCACCGACCGAUCAGUUGGAGAUUCGCGCAUAUAGGCCCACACGAGCGGUGGGUUGACCCCUACUUCCACCAGCAUACGUCUAUGGAAACUAGCAUACGCUCGUUCCGAGAGGACAGAGAGUCGGCGGAUACAUGGCGUACCUGCCGUCCUUGGUGGCUCAGGCGCAAGGACGGCGAAGCCAUGGCGCUGCCUCGGCCCCCCAUCCACUGCCCCCACACUCCCGAUUCAAAUUUGAAUCUCCAGUGCUACCCGUCCCCUUCCUCCUUCCUCGAGCCACCCCCUUCCGGCUCACCGGCCCAAGAACUCCAUAGAUCGCAUGCAGCCUCGCCUGGAAGAUCUGAACAAGCGCCAGGUCUCUCCUAGAUGAUGAUGGGCGGAGACUCUGAGGGAUUUACCGAGCUGCUCAUGAGAUUGUCAAGGCCAAUCCACGAAAUUGCUCCUGUAAGGGAACCAAGCAGCCCGAUUCACUGUUCAGAGACAAGCGCCAGCACCUCUCCGACCAGCGUGAGCUCUGAUUCCAGCGUUCCGGAUCCACGGCAAGCCGAUUUUGGGCAAGCCGAUUUUGGAGAGGACGGAGACUGCAGCGACGAGCCCUUAGCAGACAUACAGAAUGAUGCACCAUUGCCGGCUGACUCGCACUCUCCGACAUCACAAUUGUCCCCUCCAUCAGAGCGCUCCUGGAAGAAGAGGCCUCCAUCAGGUCUGAGCAAAGUUUUGUGAUGGCGACGCGAACGUUUCUCUCACCGAGGCACGGAGGAUGGCUCGUGGUGGUGCUUGCCAUGCUCUCAAGCGCCAGCCUCCCAAGCUGUUGCUGGUGCUUGACUCCCUGCCGGAGCUGCUGCUCCUAAUGCCGUCCACCACUAUGUCCCGCUGCUGCCGAUUAACUUCCAACCUGCUCUUGACAAUGAGAUCCAUCUCCUCCUAUUUGAUAUCCUUCUAAAUUGUGUUUCUUCUUUUAUCAUGCUGAAUGUGUUAGCAGUCGAAAUCAUGCAUAAAACUGAUGUUCAGUCGUGCCAUGGCGUUAAGGUUUGGUCUUGAUGCUAGUAUGUCCAGACAAUUACUUGUAUUAGGCCAUGAAUCUGCUGGAAAAACUCUAGUUUUUGUGUCAUGCAUUUUGGUUGCUGCCUUUUUUCGUGUUCGGAUUUUUACUAGUAGAUAGCUUCAAGUAUGAUGUGAAGGCGUUUGAUUCCUGAGGGUUGAAGUGUGUCCUGGUUGCACAUAUACCUGUGUGUAGUUAGUAGAUGUAUAUGACUCAUUUUUUUGAUUGUUUUAUGUUUAUCAUGCAUAGGCAGUUAUGAAACUUCUACUUUCUUUGAAGCUACUACUUACUAGUAAUUUUAGUUUUCAAUUUUCACCAAGGUUGCAAAGCUAAAAACUGAUUAUGCUUGAAAUGAAUUUCCACACAUGUUUUGUGUUGAUAAUGACAUUUCUGGUACCACAGUGCAUCCUUGUGGAUACAAUCAUGCUUGCUCUUUCGAAAGCAAUGAUCCUCUCAUUGUUAAUUGUCCAGGCGUUCUCUAGUUCUUCUUACAAAACUAAUUCUAGCCAUGAUUGUGUUUUCCAGGUCAAUUACACAACAUGGAGAUGCAGCCGGCAUUUUCCCUGAGCUGCUGUCAAGUGCUCCGGUGGUGGUGUGGUUGUAGAGCCCCGAAGCCGUGGUGAUGGCCAGCGGCGGUUUCACGAGGGUGACUUCCUUCCCUCCACUUGGACGGCUCGUGCAUGGACCAUAUGGAAGGAAGCAUAGAAGAUAUGAGACAUUUUUGGUGAUUCGAGUGAGAAGGAUAUGGCAGGGAACUUAGUCUGAAUUUUAAAAAUGGUGAACAAUAGGAUAUGACAUGUGAUAAGUUGUGGUUUCUCAAAUACUUAGCAUUUAUGACAUGAUUUUGGUGACCCUAUUCAGAACAGGACGUCUACAACGCUCUCUUUUUAGGUGUAAUAUGGAUGUUUGGGUUGAAUUUGAGAUUUCAUUUGAUAUUUUGCUGGUUC